UACGUAGGGUGCGAGCGUUAAUCGGAAUUACUGGGCGUAAAGCGUGCGCAGGCGGUUUUGUAAGUCAGAUGUGAAAUCCCCGGGCUUAACCUGGGAACUGCGUUUGAAACUACAAGGCUAGAGUGCGGCAGAGGGGGGUGGAAUUCCACGUGUAGCAGUGAAAUGCGUAGAGAUGUGGAGGAACACCGAUGGCGAAGGCAGCCCCCUGGGUUAACACUGACGCUCAGGCACGAAAGCGUGGGGAGCAAACAGG
rnacentral:rRNA from 1 species